ACCCUGAUCCAGCCAUGCCGCGUGUGUGAAGAAGGCCCUCGGGUUGUAAAGCACUUUCAGCGAGGAAGAACGCCUAGCGGUUAAUACCCGCUAGGAAAGACAUCACUCGCAGAAGAAGCACCGGCUAACUCCGUGCCAGCAGCCGCGGUAAUACGGAGGGUGCAAGCGUUAAUCGGAAUUACUGGGCGUAAAGCGCGCGUAGGUGGCUUGAUAAGCCGGUUGUGAAAGCCCCGGGCUCAACCUGGGAACGGCAUCCGGAACUGUCAAGCUAGAGUGCAGGAGAGGAAGGUAGAAUUCCCGGUGUAGCGGUGAAAUGCGUAGAGAUCGGGAGGAAUACCAGUGGCGAAGGCGGCCUUCUGGACUGACACUGACACUGAGGUGCGAAAGCGUGGGUAGCAAACAGGAUUAGAUACCCUGGUAGUCCACGCCGUAAACGAUGUCGACCAGCCGUUGGGUGCCUAGCGCACUUUGUGGCGAAGUUAACGCGAUAAGUCGACCGCCUGGGGAGUACGGCCGCAAGGUUAAAACUCAAAUG
rnacentral:rRNA from 1 species